GGGAGUUUCCUGGAAACCCAGCUCCAUCUCAGGGACAAGGCCUUCGCCAUUCCUGAAGGUGAAUGACUUGC
rnacentral:lncRNA from 1 species